UGGAACUAUGUGGUUGCUGAGGUGCAGAGAGUUCAACUGGUUGUUAUGACAACACAGAGGAGAGAGAUUUGAAUACUACUCUUCUGCUUCCUAAUGGAAAGCCUGUAUUGAGCAUGCUCAGAAGAGGAUCUGUAUCGUUCUUUGUGCUUGAGGAUAUGUAUACGUGACUUGGAGGAGGAAGAUAGAAGGACCUGGGAUAAGAUAAAGAAGCUGCCUGUUCUUUUCACAUCUGAAUCGAUGUCCAGAAAACUUCACUUUCUUUAGUCUUAAAAUGGGAAGCUAGGACACUCUCAAAGAUCAGAGCUCAGGUAACAGAGACUAAUUUUCAGUUGCAGUUGAUCCUGGAAAAAAAAAAAGCUUAUUUUGCUUACUAACUUGGAUUCCAUAAUGAUUCUAUCUUCACCUUGACAUAAAUCAUCAGCAACAACAACAACAACCCUCCCAAACAAAAACAAUCCAUCUUUGUCACUGGAUGAAGAAAGGCAGAGCUCCAGGCCUGUGGCUGCUAAUUCCAUCACAGACAGAAACAGGGCAAGGAUUUCCAAAUAGCUAAGAUCAAAAGUAUUAAACAGAGGUGUUCUUGCAUACAAAUUAAACAUCUCACCAAAAUAAAAGGCAGCUUGAUUUUUAACGUGGGG
rnacentral:lncRNA from 1 species